AAGUUUAAUAUAAUAUUUACUACUUUAUUUACAGAGUUCACGUGAAUAACAAACACUCAGCACUCAACUUAGUCUCACAACGCUCACUCUUUAACUACUGACUUGAUUCUGCUACAGUUCACAACGCGAUGACGAUGACAAUUAAGCUGAUUGUUUGCUUAUGUCUGGACGAAUCACAACUGACUGCUAUACAUGAAUACAAGUGUAUUGCGAUACUCGAUAACUAAUAGGAAUGUUCAUCGUUCAUUAAGUUAAUUGAGUUUCAAACCAGUGUGUGGUAAUGGUUGUAAAUUGUGGUGUAAAGUAAGACCGAUGGAAGUUGUACUCAUACUUUCACAUCAACAUAAAGAAAAUGAAAAAAAAAAUGAAUGUAGGAAGAAGCACGAGUAAUGCAAGUCACGCGAAAAAGUUUUAUUUAAAUUAUUAAUAUUUUAUGUUGUUAUGACGCUACGAACUUUGACUGAUAAGAGAUAUCAAAAAGUAAGUUUUUACUAGAUUUGUUAUCAGGUAAGAUUACUACUGGUAAUGUUUUUAUUUGCUUUUUGUUUUUUUUUUCUCAUAAAAAACGUAAAAAUUUAAAUUUAAAUUAACUUACCCAAAUUUUACAGCAUCUGUAAGUUGUUCCUUUUCAGACACCAUUGUUUAUGUAUUAAUAAUAUUUAAGUAUGUUUAAAUUACGUAUACGUAAGUAAUUAAUUUAAUAUUCACAAAUAUUCACAUGGAUUUAUUUAUCACAAUUCAUUUAAAUUUUAAAAAAUAAUUUUAAGUUUAUAAGUUUAGUAUGAAAUCACAUUUGUUUUAAUUGUUAUUUUAUAUUUUUUGGAUAUUUUCUUGUCUAGUCUAGUCUAAUUUGACAGCCGAUCAAACAAUAAGCCUGGACGUGGUGUGUGAUCACGAUUUAUAAACGCGGCCGAAAUUCAGCUAUCAGCCGGAAUCAGGUGAUCAACAAAAAACGAAUAACCACCGGAGAUACGAGGAUAAUGGAAUUUAAACGCUGCGAAACGUGCGAAUCUGAGCGAUUAUUUCAUAAUCAACGUGCGUGUGUGUAUGUUUAUUACACUCCAAAAUUUAAAUUUGGUUAUAUUAUUAAGUAAUAGUUAUUAAAAUUGUAUUAAAAUUUGGGUUUAAGUGUCGAGUUGAUUCAGCAUAGUUUCAUGGUCAGUUUGGGUUUUAUAUAAUAAUUAAUUAUUAUAUAUGUUGCAAAAUUCAAAAUGUUUAGGUGAUCCAAAU